UUAUUUUCAUUCACUGAAAUGUGCUCUAUUUAGGAUCCUGAUAUCCGUUCUUUAGUUGAGCAAGAUUCUAAGAGUCUCCAACGGCUGCUCCCAGAGAUACCCCUUUGGAUAAAAAAUCCAGAUUAUGAUCGGAUUGAUUGGCUGAACAAAUUCAUUGAACUUAUGUGGCCAUAUUUGGAUAAGGCAAUUUGCAAGAUGGCAAAGAAAAUAGCAGAGCCAAUCAUAGCUGAGCAAAUUCCAAAAUACAAAAUUGACUCGGUGGAAUUUGAAACACUAACUUUGGGCUGUCUACCGCCUACUUUUCAAGGUUUAGCAGCUCAUUCUCGACCCUA